rnacentral:rRNA from 1 species
GAUGAACGCUGACAGAAUGCUUCACAUGAUCACUGAUUGGGUGUGGCGGACGGGUGAGUAACGGGUAAAGAACUUGCCUCACAGCCAGGGACAACCUUUGGAAAAGAAAGCUUAUACCUAAUACUGUGGGAGAGCUUUGCGGCCCAUUAGCUAGUUGGAGAGGUAACGGCUCACCAAGGCGAUGAUGGGUAGCCGGCCUGAGAGGGUGAUCGGCCACAAGGGGACUGAGACACGGCCCUUACUCCUACGGGAGGCAGCAGUGGGGAAUAUUGGACAAUGGACCAAAGUCUGAUCCAGCAAUUCUGUGUGCACGAUGAAGUUUUCGGAAUGUAAAGUGCUUUCAGUUGGGAAGCGGUACCAACAGAAGAAGUGACGGCUAAAUACGUGCCAGCAGCCGCGGUAAUUC